AGUCGACGGCAGCACGGAGCUUGCUCUGGUGGCGAGUGGCGAACGGGUGAGUAAUAUAUCGGAACGUACCCUGGAGUGGGGGAUAACGUAGCGAAAGUUACGCUAAUACCGCAUACGAUCUAAGGAUGAAAGUGGGGGAUCGCAAGACCUCAUGCUCGUGGAGCGGCCGAUAUCUGAUUAGCUAGUUGGUAGGGUAAAAGCCUACCAAGGCAUCGAUCAGUAGCUGGUCUGAGAGGACGACCAGCCACACUGGAACUGAGACACGGUCCAGACUCCUACGGGAGGCAGCAGUGGGGAAUUUUGGACAAUGGGCGCAAGCCUGAUCCAGCAAUGCCGCGUGAGUGAAGAAGGCCUUCGGGUUGUAAAGCUCUUUUGUCAGGGAAGAAACGGUGAGGGCUAAUAUCCYUUGCUAAUGACGGUACCUGAAGAAUAAGCACCGGCUAACUACGUGCCAGCAGCCGCGGUAAUACGUAGGGUGCAAGCGUUAAUCGGAAUUACUGGGCGUAAAGCGUGCGCAGGCGGUUUUGUAAGUCUGAUGUGAAAUCCCCGGGCUCAACCUGGGAAUUGCAUUGGAGACUGCAAGGCUAGAAUCUGGCAGAGGGGGGUAGAAUUCCACGUGUAGCAGUGAAAUGCGUAGAUAUGUGGAGGAACACCGAUGGCGAAGGCAGCCCCCUGGGUCAAGAUUGACGCUCAUGCACGAAAGCGUGGGGAGCAAACAGGAUUAGAUACCCUGGUAGUCCACGCCCUAAACGAUGUCUACUAGUUGUCGGGUCUUAAUUGACUUGGUAACGCAGCUAACGCGUGAAGUAGACCGCCUGGGGAGUACGGUCGCAAGAUUAAAACUCAAAGGAAUUGACGGGGACCCGCACAAGCGGUGGAUGAUGUGGAUUAAUUCGAUGCAACGCGAAAAACCUUACCUACCCUUGACAUGGCUGGAAUCCU
rnacentral:rRNA from 1 species